GGCCCUCAGGCUGCAUGCCUGGGCGGAGUUUGCUCCUCUGCCUUGGCCAGGGUGCAAAUGGAAAUCUUUCUGAAGCUUCCAAGUGAGGGCUUUGAGGCCUUGGCUCAGGAACCUUUUAGUAGAUGCUGGAACAAGACAAGGCCUCCGUGCAGAAUGCAGCCUCUCCCAGAUGCUGAGUUGGCAGGAGCCAGCCCUUCUGCCCUGGGACAGACAGACAGAUGGACGGACAUGACCUCGCUGGAUCCCCUUCAGGGUUGUCCUUGGUGAAGUCCCCUUUUGGGCAGUGAGGACAGCCAUCGAUGGAGCCUUGUCUGCAGAAGUUGAUAUUGUGACUAUAAAAAGGCAGCUGGGCUUCAGUCUGGAAAGGAGGAAUACCCUGUGCCUGGCCUCUCAAUUGGAUGCAAGAUCUCCCUUAAUGAAUAAUCCCCAUUUAUUAAGAUUAUUGCCAUCUCAUUGCUGGGAACUUGGCAGAGGAUAGUUCAUUCAGCUCAAUGAUCAGCCCACAAGCAACCUGGGCUGCUGGAGUGAAAUCCCAGGAAACAAAAAGGAAGAUGGCCUAGAGGGGCUCUACAGGUUUUUGGCUCCUGAGAUUGCUGGCACGGGCUGGAGAAAGAGGGCUGUCUACAGAGAGGGGCUUCUCCUUUUUCUCUAAGGGUCUCCAGGGCUUCCUGAGGGUCAGAAGCAAAGAAGAGGAAAGCACCAAGACGCUCAUCCAAAUCCUGGAUCCCAGAGGCGGUGAGCUUUGCAGGGCCGCAGGAGCUGAUGGCGUUCGCUUGAAGUGGCUGAUUGAGAAGAGAAGACCAGAGGAUGGCCCAGGAACACUCAGGGGGCAGGGCAGCUUUGUCAAGACGUCGGCAGGAGGGGUCGGGGAAGAACAAUAAAACACAGUUGAUGCAGCAAGAACCUGUCCUGGGAGCAGGAGCCCUCGGAGCUUGGCCCAGGUUCCCCUGCAGCUAGCCUGACCACAGCUGACCGCUGCAGAAUCCGAUUUCUCCACCUGCCCUGUGCCAGGGAUGCCACGUCUGGUCCGGUCAUGGUGGGUGCACUAGCAUGGACCACCCCCAUGCAGAGCACUGCCAGAGAGCUCAGCCCCGGCUUCCAACCAGGAUCCCAGGGUCUGCAUGGGCCGAAGCUGGCAUCGUUCUGGGUGAAGGUCUCAGGCAAAGUGGCCACUCUCUUCCAGUCCAGGAGCUGUGAGCCGCGUGGAAAGAAUGUGAAUGAAGACACAAUUCUAAAUGUAGAAUCACGGACGCUAUGUGAGCUGGCUCCCUAGUCAUCCAGAAAAACAAGGCCCACUGGUACAUUCUGCAAGAGCAUAAAUAAAGCUGUCCUCAGGUGGCGCGCGCCCAUGUCCCAUCCUCGCAGUGAUUCUGCUGCCCCAAGUCUCAGCGGCGCCUCAAGAAGGUUGUGGGAGCUGCCCGUCUCCUGUGUGGGUGAAGCUGUCUCCCUCUUACCCAAGCCGUGUGUGAUGCUUGCUAACUUAAUUUUGCAGCACAUUUACUAUUCUGUGUCUGCAUUAAUUAGAAAUGUUCAAAGCUGAUAAUGAGGGCAACGCAGAAUUGGGCUUUCAGGCCAGUUUCUGGAUAUUUGACACUUAAAUCCCUGCAAAGGGCAGGAGAUGGUUCCUCUGCUCCUUCUACCCUUGUGACGCAGCUACAUGGCCCAGCUUUUCUUCAGCACUGCUCAAGCUUCUUUAGGCGUUGUUUGCAUAAAUUUCUCCAGGAAAUUAGGGUGUUUCCAAGGCUUUGAUUUGUAAUUUUUAUUUAUUUAUUUUUAUUUCCAGGGCUUUAAAUAACAACGCAUAACCACACUAGCUCACACAGAAAACCUUCCCAAAGUGCCAAGUCCCUAGGUAAAAUUAGCUUAUUCCUUGGACACUGUCUUAGGACCUGGCGUUAUUUUGCUUUGUCCUCUUGAACCACUACCUGUCAGGGAAUUAGGGGAAGGCAAGAGAUUUCCUGAGUCCCCAUUAUGUGCCCGGCACUAAAAAGUGCUUUUUUCCCACUAAGUCCUCAUUACAUCCCUGUGAUAUCAGGUCCUGACUCCGCUUUACAGUUGAGGAAAUGGAGACUCACAGAGCCCUGGAGGUUGCACAGCUACUAGCUACCAGGUGCUGAGGAUGUGGAUAAGGGCUCAACUACCGCCUGCCCAUGCAGCUCGUAUGUCUCUGCGCACACACCUCCACUAUCCAAAUCAGCUGCUCCUCUAGCCCAGGGCCAGGGAACACGGCCUCCUUCCACCCACCUGUUUCCCUAGAGAGAAAGCAAAGUCUGGUGAGGGUACCUCCUUAGCUACUGACUUGUUAUGGGAACUGAGGGGGUUCCAUCUUCAGCGUUGGCUCAGUGAGAAUGUGUUCUCAGGACUGAUGGCAAGAUGGGAAUUCACUGCAGGAGGGUGAGCCUGGGGCUCAGGGCCUGCUGGGCUUGAUAAGCACGAGCUGAGGGGCCUGAGCAAUCGGGCCCCUUCUUCAGAUCAAUUUCCUUACCAGGAACUCUGGGUCAGUGCCUCCCUCAUAGGGUUGCAUGAAUGAGUUUGUAGAGCCUAGUUCAAAGGGGCUGGCUUUAUUUUGGUGGUGGUGGGGGUGAGGGAUUGGAACUCAGGAUUGGAAACAGCCUGCCCACCUGGCCACAGAGGUCCUUUCCCUAGGGUUACUGCUUUUGCAAAUGGACUAGCCAGGUGCCAUACAGUCAGCUCAGGGUUGCUCUGGCUCUGGACUUGCCUGAAGACCUUUCCUUCGAUUCUUUGCUUAGGAUUUGACAAUGAAAGAUUUACGUGACAAAAGCCAAACCCGGGCUGUGAAAUGAAGUAAAUCCAGUUUAGACAACGCCACCAACACCGACAAAACCAUGACAACCCUCUGGAGGCUGGCCAUCCGCACGUCUGGAGUCUACCUACGCCAUUCCUCCAUGAGGCGGGAUCAGGAACUUCCUUUCAGGAGGAGCUGGGGAAGAUGGGCUCAGCUUUCUAGAGCAUGGGGCAACAAACUUUCUGUAAAAGACUGGACAGUAAAUGUUUUUAGCUUUGCAGGCCAGAUGGUCUUUGUCACAAUUACUCAGCUUGACCAUGAAAAGCAGGCAGAGAAGAUCUAUAAUCAAAUCAACAUGGCCAUGUUCCAAGAAAAGUAUUUAUAGACACAGAAAUUUGAAUUUCAUCUAAUUUUCACAUAAAACAGAAUAUACUUAUUAAAAAAUCAUUUUUGGCUGCACGAAACUAAGCUGCAUGAAACUAAGCUGCAUGAAGCUGCACAAAAAUAGGGGUGCUGCAUGGACUUGGCUCGCAGGCUGUAGUGUGUGAGUGAACCCCUGUCCCCUUCAUUCGCCAUCUGACUGAUGAGCACUUGAACCCUGCCUGGUCCAAACUGAGCAUUCUGCAAGUGUAAAACGCCCACUGGAUUUUGAAGAUUUUGAAUGGGAAACAAACAAGAAGACUGCAAAGCAUCUCCUUGGUAAUCUGUCUUGAAUAUUGCACUACAUCUGCAUUAAAAUGAUGGU